rnacentral:rRNA from 1 species
UACGUAGGGGCCAAGCGUUGUCCGGAUUUAUUGGGCGUAAAGAGCUCGUAGGCGGUUUGUCGCGUCUGCUGUGAAAACCCGGGGCUCAACUCCGGGCCUGCAUUCGAUACGGGCGGACUAGAGUUCGGUAGGGGAGACUGGAAUUCCUGGUGUAGCGGUGAAAUGCGCAGAUAUCAGGAGGAACACCGGUGGCGAAGGCGGGUCUCUGGGCCGAUACUGACGCUGAGGAGCGAAAGCGUGGGGAGCGAACAGG